GCGACGUGCGGCUCCUCCUCUGAAAUUUCUGGGCAUCGAACGGAAAGGAGCGGGAGAGAGAGUCGACGGAAGAGAGGAAGGGGAAAGGAGAGGGGUCGGCCAACGGCGGUCCGGCGCGACGGUGGCGGACGAACGGCGACGACGAACGAGCGGCCGAGCGGCGACGAAGGGGGCGGUCGGGGCUGCUGGUUUUCGUUCA
rnacentral:lncRNA from 1 species